rnacentral:rRNA from 1 species
UGAGGGGGGCUGCUCCUAGUACGAGAGGACCGGAGUGGACGCAUCACUGGUGUUCGGGUUGUCAUGCCAAUGGCACUGCCCGGUAGCUAAAUGCGGAAAAGAUAAGUGCUGAAAGCAUCUAAGCACGAAACUUGCCCCGAGAUGAGUUCUCCCUGACUCCUUGAGAGUCCUGAAGGAACGUUGAAGACGACGACGUUGAUAGGCCGGGUGUGUAAGCGCAGCGAUGCGUUGAGCUAACCGGUACUAAUGAACCGUGAGGCUUAACCUUACAACGCCGAAGCUGUU